GUUUUGCAAAAUAGUUAAAAGAUAUGUUCGCAAUAACCAGAGAGAGAGAGAGAGAGCUUCAAUGGAGGAGGACGAUGAAGUGAAGCAAAGAACUAAACUUGAAGAGAAACAUUCUGAUGAAAGAAGAGAAGAAGAACCACAAAUGGAUUGUCCCUCGCAUCAUCCCCCGCCUCCGCCUGAUGAGUUGUUCGACAUUGAUACUACAGUUGAUCCUAGCUAUGUAAUCUCACUGAUACGGAAACUCCUUCCGACCGAUUCUGGAAGUGAAGAAUGUGAUGAAAGCACCGAGUUAAGGCAUAUGAAUGCCAACAAUGCGGUUCAAGCUCGGUCUGGAGAUGGGUUUGUGGAUGCUGCUUCUAAGGGUGAUCCAGAGAGGAUGGACACUGGAGGUAACCGUAACGAAUCCAUUUCCAUGGAGAAGGACAAGGCGAGUUCAUCAGUGGAAGAGGCAUGGGAAGAGCAUGGUUGCGUUUUGUGGGAUCUUGCCGCCAGUGAAACCCAUGCUGAGCUUAUGGUACAGAACCUCAUUUUACAAGUGCUUCACGCAAACCUUCUAGUUUCAACAUCUGAUCGCAUUCGAGAAAUAUGUCUCGGGAUUAUUGGGAACCUUGCUUGCCAUGAAUCUCUGUUGAAACACGUUGAGUCUACAUCCGGACUCGUUAAUACACUAGUGGGGCAGUUGUUUCUUGAUGAUACUCAAUGCCUAACUGAAGUUUGCAGGAUACUCACCACAGGAUUAUCUAGCUAUGGAGCUGGAUGCAAUUUUUGGGCCGAGUGUUUGCAGUCUGAUGAUAUACUACGCCGUAUUUUGUGGAUUGCUGAAAAUACCUUGAAUCCUCAUCUUAUUGACAAGAGUGUAGGGCUAUUGUUAGCUAUCUUGGAAGAUCAAUCAGAGGUUGGGAAGCUACUGAUCCCUCCACUAAUGACUCUAGGUUUGACGAGUCUCUUGAUCAAUCUUCUUUCCUUCGAAAUGAGCAAGUUGAUCAAAGAAAGAGUUCCAGAAAGGUACUCCGUCCUUGAAAUGAUUCUCCGAGCUAUUGAAGCCCUUUCUGCUUCAGAUACUCAUUCUAAAGAGAUUUGCUCUAGCAAACAACUUUUUCACUUAGUCUGUGAUCUUAUGAAACUUCAGGACAAAGCCGAGGUGGCAGCAUGUUGUGUUACUGCAGGAGUUUUAAUCGCAAAUAUUCUGUCGGAAACAGUCAGUUUUAUUCCACAAGUAUCGCAAGAUUUUUCUUUCUUGGAAGGGUUAUUCAGUACUUUACCAUUUGCUUCGGAUGACGUAGAAGCAAGAAGAGCUAUUUGGAGCGUUAUUGCGAGGUUACUUGCCAGAGUUAAUGAGUCUGAGAUAGACACAUCUUGCCUGAGACAGCACAUAUUGGUUUUGCUAAGGAACUCAGAUAUUAUAGAAGAUGAUCUUCUUGAUAUCCAACUAGAAGAUUCAAAAGAGGAGUCUCUAAACUCAUUCCCUCCCCAGGGAAAGUCAAGCUUGCGAGCAAUUGCUGUAUCCACUUUUAUAUUCCUCUGUUUCUGUUGAUCUUACAUUCUUGCACAGAUCUUUUCUUGACCCUUAGUGAUAACAGAUACAAAAGAUUGAGUCCAUGUUGAACAAUUGGAAUAUUCGCAAGGAGGAAAGCAUGAAUGGGGAAUGCUCUGUAAACAUAGAUGAUGUUAAAAGGCUAUCAGAUUGCUGUCAAAGAUAUAUCAAUUGUAGAUCAGUUGAAGGGUCUUAGCUCAUGGGGAAUAUUUCGCUUAUAAGUUCUCAAUCUUCUCUAUCUUUCAUGGUCGACCAAGGCAUCAUCACAUAUUGACACAUGGAGUCGCAAGCUUUAAGAAAUCGCCGACCCAGUGAGCUUUUUGAACAGACAUACAUUCAGGUUAGAACUUGCCUGUGUGUUCUCAUAGUCAUAGAUCACUUAAGACAUUGUCUGAUAAAAUGUAAACCAGAGAAAGAGAUUUAAGGAAAAAACUCAAAGUUUUCAGAA